CUGGUGGUUCCUUCCUUCGGGUUGGUAUCGCCGCGUGGCGUUGGGACUGUAGCCGCAGUAGGUCAGCGCAGGGGUGACACGGAAUGGGAGCCGGCCGCGGAGGUGGUUUUCCGUGGUCAAGCACGCAGCCAGUCAUGUAGGCAAAUCCGCAUGGCGCGCAUGGCGAGGUGUGAUGAUGGGAGCCGUUAUGGCUCGAUAUCCGGUUGUCCAGGCCGUCGAGAAAAGCCUCGGCGUGAGGGCCAUGGCCGCCCGUACCCCAAACCGACACUGGUGGUCAGGUAGAGAAUACCAAGGCGAUCGAGCGAAUCCUGGUCAAGGAACUCGGCAAAUCACUCCCGUGCCUUCGGUAUAAGGGAGACCCGCUGGGGUGAAGGACCUUGCGUCCGGAGCUUUGGUGGGUGGCACAGACCAGGGGGUAGCGACUGUUUACCAAAAACACAGGUGCAUGCGAAGGCGAAAGCCGCUGUAUAUGCACUGACGCCUGCCCGGUGCCGGAAGGUUAAGAGGAUCCGUCAAUCCCUUCGGGGACGAAGCGGCGAAUUCAAGCCCCGGUAAACGGCGGUGGUAACUAUAACCAUCCUAAGGUAGCGAAAUUCCUUGUCGGGUAAGUUCCGACCUGCACGAAUGGCGUAACGACUUCCCCACUGUCUCGACCAGGAGCUCGGCGAAAUUGCAGUACGAGUAAAGAUGCUCGUUAAGCGCAGAAGGACGAAAAGACCCCGGGACCUUUACUAUACCUUGGUAUUGGCGUUAGGCGCGGAUUGUGUAGCAUAGGCGGGAGGCUUCGAAGCGGGUGCGCCAGCAUUCGUGGAGCCGCAAGGUGAAAUACCGCUCUGUUCUCGUUUGACGUCUAACCUCGACAAGUCAUCCUUGUCAGGGACAGUGCCUGGCGGGUAGUUCAACUGGGGCGGUUGCCUCCCAAAGAGUAACGGAGGCGCUCAAAGGUCCGCUCAGCCCGGUUGGCAAUCGGGUGUCGUGUGUAAUCGCACAAGCGGGCUUGACUGCGAGGACGACGGUCCGAGCAGGGACGAAAGUCGGAGAUAGUGAUCCGGUGCCGGCGCACGGGCGCGGCAUCGCUCAACGGAUAAAAGGUACCCCGGGGAUAACAGGCUGAUCAUUCCCAAGAGUCCAUAUCGACGGGAUGGUUUGGCACCUCGAUGUCGGCUCGUCGCAUCCUGGGGCUGGAGCAGGUCCCAAGGGUUCGGCUGUUCGCCGAUUAAAGCGGCACGCGAGCUGGGUUCAGAACGUCGUGAGACAGUUUGGUCUCUAUCCUCUGCGCUCGUUGGAAUCCUGAGGAGGCCUGCCCAUAGUACGAGAGGACCUGGGUGGACGAACCUCUGGUAUGCCGGUUGUCGCGCCAGCGGCACGGCCGGUUGGCUACGUUCGGGAGGGAUAACCGCUGAAAGCAUCUAAGCGGGAAGCCUGCUCCAAGAUUAGGAUUCCGUACGGUCUUGAACCGUUGUAGCCCGCAUGUUGAACACGUGUUUGAUAGGCCGGAGGUGGAAGCCCCGUGAGGGGUGGAGCCGACCGGUACUAACGGGCGACGGCGACACU
rnacentral:rRNA from 1 species